rnacentral:rRNA from 1 species
AGUGAACGCUGGCGGUAGGCCUAACACAUGCAAGUCGAACGGCAGCACAGUAAGAGCUUGCUCUUACGGGUGGCGAGUGGCGGACGGGUGAGGAAUACAUCGGAAUCUACUUUUUCGUGGGGGAUAACGUAGGGAAACUUACGCUAAUACCGAAUACGACCUACGGGUGAAAGCAGGGGAUCUUCGGACCUUGCGCGAUUGAAUGAGCCGAUGUCGGAUUAGCUAGUUGGCGGGGUAAAGGCACACCAAGGCGACGAUCCGUAGCUGGUCUGAGAGGAUGAUCAGCCACACUGGAACUGAGACACGGUCCAGACUCCUACGGGAGGCAGCAGUGGGGAAUAUUGGACAAUGGGCGCAAGCCUGAUCCAGCCAUACCGCGUGGGUGAAGAAGGCCUUCGGGUUGUAAAGCCCUUUUGUUGGGAAAGAAAAGCAGCAGGUUAAUACCCCGCUGUUCUGACGGUACCCAAAGAAUAAGCACCGGCUAACUUCGUG